GACGAACGCUGGCGGCGUGCCUAAUACAUGCAAGUCGAGCGAAGUUUUUCUGGUGCUUGCACCGGAAAAACUUAGCGGCGAACGGGUGAGUAACACGUAAAGAACCUGCCUCAUAGACUGGGACAACUAUUGGAAACGAUAGCUAAUACCGGAUAACAGCAUUAACUGCAUGGUUGAUGUUUAAAAGUUGGUUAUGCUAACACUAUGAGAUGGCUUUGCGGUGCAUUAGCUAGUUGGUGGGGUAAAGGCCUACCAAGGCGACGAUGCAUAGCCGACCUGAGAGGGUGAUCGGCCACACUGGGACUGAGACACGGCCCAGACUCCUACGGGAGGCAGCAGUAGGGAAUCUUCCGCAAUGGGCGAAAGCCUGACGGAGCAACGCCGCGUGAGUGAAGAAGGAUUUCGGUUCGUAAAGCUCUGUUGUUAGGGAAGAAUGAUUGUGUAGUAACUAUACACAGUAGAGACGGUACCUAACCAGAAAGCCACGGCUAACUACGUGCCAGCAGCCGCGGUAAUACGUAGGUGGCAAGCGUUGUCCGGAAUUAUUGGGCGUAAAGCGCGCGCAGGUGGUUUAAUAAGUCUGAUGUGAAAGCCCACGGCUCAACCGUGGAGGGUCAUUGGAAACUGUUAAACUUGAGUGCAGGAGAGAAAAGUGGAAUUCCUAGUGUAGCGGUGAAAUGCGUAGAGAUUAGGAGGAACACCAGUGGCGAAAGCGGCUUUUUGGCCUGUAACUGACACUGAGGCGCGAAAGCGUGGGGAGCAAACAGG
rnacentral:rRNA from 1 species